UACAGAGGGGGCAAGCGUUGUUCGGAAUUACUGGGCGUAAAGGGCGCGUAGGCGGCCUGUUAAGUCGAACGUGAAAUCCCCCGGGCUCAACCCGGGAACUGCGUCCGAUACUGGCAGGCUUGAAUCCGGGAGAGGGAUGCGGAAUUCCAGGUGUAGCGGUGAAAUGCGUAGAGAUCCGGAAGAACACCGGUGGCGAAGGCGGCGAUCUGGGUAGAUACUGACGCUGAGGUGCGAAAGCGUGGGGAGCAAACAGG
rnacentral:rRNA from 1 species